UACGAAGGGUGCAAACGUUGCUCGGAAUUAUUGGGCGUAAAGCGCACGUAGGCGGCUUUGCAAGUCGGAUGUGAAAUCCCUCGGCUCAACCAAGGAAGUGCAUCCGAAACUGCAGAGCUUGAGUACCAAAGAGGAUCGCGGAAUUCCCGGUGUAGAGGUGAAAUUCGUAGAUAUCGAGAGGAACACCGGUGGCGAAGGCGGCCUUCUGGACAGUGACUGACGCUGAGACGCGAAAGCGUGGGGAGCAAACAGG
rnacentral:rRNA from 1 species